CCAGGCCUGAGUGGGCCUGAGAGCGGGGGCAAGCGGGUCUGGAGAGGGAUAGGGAGAGCCGAGCCAACCAGGGUGAUUUAUGCGCCCAGCCCGGGUCGGGAGCCGGGAGGGGCUGCAGUACAGACCACCAAAGGGAGAUUUUCAUGGAGGCCACAGCCCAGCCAAGACUCCCCAAGAAACAUUUAGGACCUGUGAGUGCCACUAACAAGCUGUCUCCGUGCUGUCUCGGCUCUUUCCCUCCUCAGGAAAGCCCAAGGCAGGGGGUACGGAAAGAAGGGGAGACCGGGAAGAGGAGGCUGAUGGCGCUCCACCCAGCCCUAAGCAAAGCCAGGGGCCCCGCCAACGCCGGCUGACUUGGAAAUUGCAGCAUGCAGGACAGGACCACAAGCCUGGUAUUGCCAAGGCACAGAGGACACCAACCACAAAGCCCAGGAAGCUGGGGCUGUGGAAGCCCAAAACACAGAUGAAUGCUCCCAGUUCUGUGGCCCGAGCAACGAAGCCCAGCUGCCUCACCUGGGGGAAGCUGAAGGAGAUAGACAGCAGGACCUCCCAGCCCAGUGAGCCACAAGUCCCAGCCCUGCACACAGUCCCCGGAACAUGCAUGAAGAAGCUGAGGCCAUCACCUGCGGUCUGCCCCGCCAGCUCCCUCUGCCUCUCGGCACAUCCCCAAGCCCAUGGCGGCUGGCUGCCUGACUCUCGCUUGCGCCAGGCAAGAGGAGAAACUGAAAACUGCUGGGAAAUCAGCAUCAUCUACAUUCCAGAGACAAAAGGAGACUAACUUUGGAUUUCUUAACUAUGGAAAACACUAGGAUACAAGUGCUAUUUAUGGAGCAUGAGUUUCCUAUGUAUAAAGUUAUCAAAGAAUCUGUGUAUGUUUCACAGAGCUCACGUGCCUGUUACCUCUCAAAAGACCUGCAGCUUCUAAGGAAAGCACUCUUUUUUAAAAAACAAAAUUCUUACUUAAUACUUCAGAGCACAGGGUCCAAGGAACACUCUAGUGCGCCCAGGCAAAUUUGUGGGCAGAGGUGUUUAAAAGGUUAGUGUCAGGUCUUGCCCUCACUGGAAACAAAAACAAAAACAGAAAAACAAAAACUGCUAGUUGAACCAAAUCAUCUGGUGAACCCUGAGGCGGGGAAAUACAGAGAAAGAACUUGUUUUUACAGUUCAGUUUCAUUUGGUCUUUGAGAGCAGUGAGGAAAUAGAAGUGUUGUCUAUCACCCCAAUGGGCUACAAGCCCACAACGUGGAGAAACAACAUAAAAAAGGGCUGAAAGGAAAGUUGGAGCGACGCGUUCUGAGGGGGCUGCAGGCAAGUCGGGGAGGCUUGGCCCGAGCAAGGCAAGGGCCCGACCUCAAGGCCGGAGAGAGGCCCUGGCCCCAGAAAGGGACCCACCUCUGCAGGAACGGGUCGGCAGAGUCCGAGAGUCAUCAAGGACAGCUCCAGUUGGAUGCACAAGUUUAACUCUUUUACUGCCACUUAAAUCAAGCUAUUUAACUGCAUGUUCAAAACCGGUUAGCUGGUUGCAAGAAGAUUCUCAUUUCUUUCCAGAACCAUCUGUGAUGGAAGGUGGUCCCGACUUUGAAUGCCUUCCGCAGCAUGCUGGGUUGCCCGUGACCUGAGCGCCAUCUAGUGACCACAUAAACAUCUUUCUUACCUUCCCACCAACACACUCAUGCGGACACAGAGAAAGGUGAGGGCUCACACAGCAUAGAAAUGAAGACAGGUCGGGGGAUGUUAACUCUCCAUCAGGGGGCUGGUGGUAGGCACGGCUGCAGCGUCAUGAAACACAACUGUCGGAAAACAGUCAGAAAUGCCACAGUGUGCCCCCACCACUGUCUGCCCCUGGAUUGAGAGAUGAGAGACAGUGCCAGUCAGAAAACUGAAGACGAGGUUCCUUCCAUACCAAGAGUACUGACCUGUGAGGUGACCCUCUGUCUGCAUUACCACCCCCAAAUCUCUCUACCUGUGCAGGAGACAGCCCUCCUUAGAAACUAUCUGAACAGCAAUUAGUGAAGGGGCCACAUCCCGGAACAGAUUGUUCCCCCAGCGAGGAAGGGAGGGGCUGGGGCAGGAAGAGGAAGUUCGCAGUGCCUUCAGGAAGGUCGUUUCUGGGACUAGUCCAAAGUUCCAACAAGGAAAUCAGAAGGCAGAGAGCAGCUAGAUGUGGAAGCUCAGGGAGGGUAUCUGGGAGUUUACUGUACAAUUCUCUACCUUUGCGUGUACUUGAAAUUUUCUAUAAUUAAAAGUUGCCCUUUAAAUGUUUCAGAGAACUCAGCCAAACCAGUCUUUUCAUUUCUUUCUUGCCACAUGGCCUUGGAAUAUGUCAUCACCUCUGCCUGGAACUCUUUCCUACUCCUCACGUGCCGGUGGCUUCCCCUCUGGCAGCCUAAGACACCUCCUCCUAGAAGCCUUCCUUGAUUCUGUCAGGCAGAAGCAGCUCUCCC
rnacentral:lncRNA from 1 species